rnacentral:lncRNA from 1 species
CAUAUAUAAUAUAACCUUUACAACUCACAAGAACACUUUUUGCUAUUACCAUAAAAUGUAGUGAGAUACAAUCUAUCUACCAUUUCUGUGCAGUGAAGCUUAGAGAUGCAGAAUUGGAGUUCCAUAUGGUAAAAAAAACUUAAGUCGAUUGCAACAAAACGAAACAAAAAGCAAUUACUCUUUUACCUAAGUUAAUUGACUUGUGCUUACAGGAGGACUGGAAGGUAAAACGUUGGGACGAGACGACAGAAAUAUCAUCGUUGGGCCUCAGAGAUACAUCAAUCAAUGAGCAUAAAAUGGUGGUGGGAUGCGGCAUCGAGCUGAAGCACCACGAAGCUUUGCUAGCUGCAGAUAUCAAAGUACCGAUUUCGAAAUUUCAAAAGGAGAUCCAACAGAAGGGGACAGAAAGUUAGCUAGUGUAGCAGGAGAGAUACAGUGGUUCACAUCAAUGUCAUAAUGAUAGACAAACAUAUGCAUUUUAACAACAUCAACAAGAUAAUUACAUUCCCGACAAACAAAUGAUCUCAAUCCAGCUUCCUCCACAUGCACGUUCAACCUAGGCAACCUUUUCCACUUCGUUCAUCCUGAACCCUACUCAUUAUUCAAUCCAAGUGAUCUAAGUUUCCGCGUUUCUUAUUUUUCGUUCCAAGUUAUUUUGACCAAGGUCAACCCAUGGUAUGCGACAAAUCAAUCUUUGAAUCUAUAUAAAAGCACCAAACUCCUAACAACAAAGAUCAAGGAACAUAUACAUUCAGCAGACUCUGCACGAAAGGGUACAACAGGCGUAAACAAGAGAGAGAGAGAGAGAGAGAGAGAGAGAGAUGAUGUCCACAACACAAGUUAACGAGUUAUGCUUAUAAACAAUAAUAAUACUCAAGUCAAUCAAAAUUUCAAAAGGAACUAUUGAUGUGUCCAAGGUUAUGGCAUACCUUCAUCAGCGACAAUCUGGACUACAAUACGGGUGCUGUGAAUUCUUUCAUCUGCUACUGAAAACGCCUCAAUCUCCUGGUAAUUUGAUAGUUAAUAGCAAAGGAGAAAAAACUGAGACUACAGAUGCAGAGUCUACAUUUACCCCACAACAACAGCAAUAUUUAGGCAGUUUAGUACUCGUGAAUGUAGCUAAAGACAUAAAACAUGCUCAACUUCAGUCCAACAUACAUCCGCAUGAAAAUGAGCCAGCCAAAUCUCCAAAAUUUCAUAACAUAGUGCCAGAUACAACUUGGAUAAGAACAUCUUAAAUCACAACCGUUGCAGCAACAAAGUCCAUGAUAUAUUUAAAUUGUAACCGUUGCAGCAGUAAAGUCCAUGAAAUAUUUAACAUAUUGGGAGACAAGUAUCUAUUAACUGGUAGGCUACAAAAAUCAAAAUUUACCUACCAACCUUCAUGGGAAUAAAAAUAUAUUAGUAGCAAGUGCUCCUAUCUACGAUUAAAUGCUAAAUAGCGAAUAUAGAAAAAAAAUGAACACCCAAAGAAGAACCAAAAUGAAUAGCAUCAACUUAUAAAUUAAAUGCACAGCAUUCAAAUGAUAACUAAGAAAUAGCAGAGACAACCACUGUACCUAAAAUGUAACUCUGGCAUGAGUAUACAACAUACCUUUUCAAAUAGAAGACUGCUUGCUGAUUACCUACUUACUUCAACGUAU